AACAAAACGUUGAUAAGGAUAAGUAAUAUAGUAUUUCUUUAUAGAGAGGCAGUGGUUGGUGGAAACUGUCAAGAAAGCUAUAUGAAAUCAACCUUGGAGUGAACGGGUGAAAUUAGUAGUCUGUUUCGUUGGUUACGUUAUAACCUAGAGAUUAUUUUCAGCAGGAAGCUUUGCUGUUAAUAAAAAAGGGUGGCAACGCGAGGUAUCGUCCNNNNN
rnacentral:ncRNA from 1 species